GAGAGCAAUGAAAUAAAUAAAUAAGCCCGGCAGCACCAAUGAGCGCGGCAGAGCCGGCGGCGGCCGGAGCGGGGCUGGCUCCUUCGCCUGCCUCUGCCUGAAGCCGCAAAGUUCAGACCCAAACGUGUUGCGCCGCCGCCUGCUGCCGCCACCUGCUCCAACGCCCCGAGGAAGGCGGGCGGGCGAGGAGCUGCAGCUGCGUCGCCUCCCGCCUGGCUUGCCUGGACCGGCCGGGAGACGGCAGGCAGAUCUUACAUUUCCUCAAGAGAAUAAUAGAAGGCCUUAAGGAAAAAAAAAUCAAUCUGGGUUACCAGACUGAGCUGUUCUUCAGACAUGAGGGACUGAGAGAUGGGAUAAACUGCAAAGGAAUGUCAGAAUAUUGGUCACUGAAAACAAAUACUGAAAUUUGGGAGAAGGAAAUGCAUGUUGAUCAAAGCUGAGGCAUUACAGAAUCGUGAGCUAAAAACUGAUAGAGAAGAUGAGACGAGAUACUGGACUCGAUGGACCAAACUCUUAUCUGAAAUUUGUGAUUCUUGUGUGGCGUUAAGCUCAUUUUCAUUGGACAUAUAUCAAGAAACACUAAAAACUAGAUGA
rnacentral:lncRNA from 1 species